GUGAUAACGAAACCACUGAAACGCAAAUGCGUGGACGGAAAGGAAACCAUUCGACCCCCCGCGCCGUUGUCAAAGGCAGCGUCAAAAAGCUCUCUUUUUCUAAGAAUAGAAGUAGCUGCCGACCUAAAGUGCGGACGGAAAGCGCGCACCUUCAUCUGCACCAUGGGUCCUGGAUAGCCCAGAACGUUGGAGGAGAAAUUGCCGUCGAUGAAGGCGGCAACAAUACCGCAGGCCUCGGUCAACCCGUAGCCCGGCCGCAGCCAGAAUUAGAGACCGAAAUCACCGCACCGACUGUCAGUGGGCCAGUGCCGUCAGCGCCUUCGCAGGGUGAAAGGCAGUAUGGGAACUCAGGCGUGAUGAGCGGCACCGG